rnacentral:rRNA from 1 species
UACGUAGGGGGCGAGCGUUAAUCGGAAUUACUGGGCGUAAAGCGUGCGCAGGCGGUGAUGUAAGACAGGUGUGAAAUCCCCGGGCUUAACCUGGGAACUGCAUUUGUGACUGCAUCGCUGGAGUGCGGCAGAGGGGGAUGGAAUUCCGCGUGUAGCAGUGAAAUGCGUAGAGAUGUGGAGGAACACCGGUGGCGAAGGCGGCGACCUGGUCCGAUACUGACGCUGAGGCGCGAAAGCGUGGGGAGCAAACAGG